GUGCCAUUAGCUCAGCUGGUAGAGCACCUGACUCUUAAUCAGGGCGUCCAGGGUUCGAUUCCCUGAUGGCGCACCA
rnacentral:tRNA from 1 species